GCGCUUAGCUCAGCUGGUUCAGAGCGUCUGCCUUACAAGCAGAGGGUCGGGGGUUCGAAUCCCUCAGCGCCCA
rnacentral:tRNA from 1 species